rnacentral:rRNA from 1 species
GAGGGGCGAACGGGAGAGUAAUGCAUCAGAACGUACCCAGUCGUGGGGGAUAACUACUCAAAAGAGUAUCUAAUACCGCGUACGACCUGAGGGUGAAAGCGGGGGACCGCAAGGCCUCGCGCGAUUGGAGCGGCCGAUGUCGGAUUAUCUAGUUGGUGGGGUAAAGGCUUACCAGGGCGACGAUCCGUAGCUGGUCUGAUAGGACGACCAGCCACACUGGGACUGAGACACGGCCCAGACUCCUACAGGAGGCAGCAGUGGGGAAUUUUGGACAAUGGGCGCAAGCCUGAUCCAGCCAUGCCGCGUGCGGGAAGAAGGCCUUCGGGUUGUAAACCGCUUUUGUCAGGGAAGAAAAGCUCUGGGCUAAUACCUCGGAGUGAUGACGGUACCUGAAGAAUAAGCACCGGCUAACUACGUGCCAGCAGCCGCGGUAAUACGUAGGGUGCGAGCGUUAAUCGGAAUUACUGGGCGUAAAGCGUGCGCACGCGGUUGUGCAAGACAGAUGUGAAAUCCCCGGGCUUAACCUGGGAACUGCAUUUGUGACUGCACGGCUAGAGUGUGGCAGAGGGGGAUAGAAUUCCGCGUGUAGCAGUGAAAUGCGUAAAUAUGCGGAGGAACACCGAUGGCGAAGGCAAUCCCCUGGGCCUGCACUGACGCUCAUGCUCUAAUGCGUGAGGAGCAAACAGGAUUAGAUACUCUGAUAGUCCACGCCCUAAACGAUGUCAACU